UAGGGUUCGAUCAUGGCUCAGAACGAACGUUGGCGGCACGCUUAACACAUGCAAGUCGAACGAGAAACCCGAGCUUGCUCGGGUGGACAGUGGCAGACGGCUUAGUAACGCGUGGGUAUCUACCUAGAGGUUUGGAACAACUAUUGGAAACGAUAGCUAAUACCAGAUAUUCCCUAAGGGGGAAAGAUUUAUCGCCUUUAGAUGAGCCCGCGUCGGAUUAGCUUGUUGGUAGGGUAAGGGCCUACCAAGGCAACGAUCCGUAGCUGGUCUGAGAGGAUGAUCAGCAAGAUUGGGACUGAGACACGGCCCAGACUCCUACGGGAGGCAGCAGUGGGGAAUAUUGCGCAAUGGGGGAAACCCUGACGCAGCGAUGCCGCGUGAGUGAAGAAGGCCUUAGGGUUGUAAAACUCUUUCACCGGUGAAGAUAAUGACGGUAGCCGGAGAAGAAGCCCCGGCUAACUCCGUGCCAGCAGCCGCGGUAAUUCA
rnacentral:rRNA from 1 species